rnacentral:rRNA from 1 species
GACGAACGCUGGCGGCGUGCUUAACACAUGCAAGUCGAACGCUGAAGCUCAGCUUUUGUUGGGUGGAUGAGUGGCGAACGGGUGAGUAACACGUGAGUAACCUGCCCCCUUCUUUGGGAUAACGCCCGGAAACGGGUGCUAAUACUGGAUAUUCACUGGUCUUCGCAUGGGGGUUGGUGGAAAGGGUUUUUCUGGUGGGGGAUGGGCUCGCGGCCUAUCAGCUUGUUGGUGGGGUGAUGGCCUACCGAGGCUUUGACGGGUAGCCGGCCUGAGAGGGUGACCGGUCACAUUGGGACUGAGAUACGGCCCAGACUCCUACGGGAGGCAGCAGUGGGGAAUAUUGCACAAUGGGCGCAAGCCUGAUGCAGCGACGCAGCGUGAGGGAUGGAGGCCUUCGGGUUGUGAACCUCUUUCGCUCAUGGUCAAGCCGCAACAAUGGUUGUGGUGAGGGUAGUGGGUAAAGAAGCGCCGGCUAACUACGUG